GUCCACGCCGUAAACGAUGUUCACUCGCUGUAUGCAAUACACCGUAUGCGGCCAAGCGAAAGUAUUAAGUGAACCACCUGGGGAGUACGUCGGCAACGGUGAAACUCAAAGGAAUUGACGGGGGCCCGCACAAGCGGAGGAACAUGUGGUUUAAUUCGAUGAUACGCGAGGAACCUUACCUGGGCUUAAAUGUAGAUUGCAUUUCUGAGAAAUCGGGAUUCCCUUCGGGGCUAUUUACAAGGUGCUGCAUGGUUGUCGU
rnacentral:rRNA from 1 species